rnacentral:rRNA from 1 species
UACGGAGGGAGCUAGCGUUGUUCGGAAUUACUGGGCGUAAAGCGCACGUAGGCGGCGAUUCAAGUCAGAGGUGAAAGCCCGGGGCUCAACCCCGGAACUGCCUUUGAAACUAGAUUGCUAGAAUCUUGGAGAGGCGAGUGGAAUUCCGAGUGUAGAGGUGAAAUUCGUAGAUAUUCGGAAGAACACCAGUGGUGGAGGCGACUCGCUGGACAAGUAUUGACGCUGAGGUGCGAAAGCGUGGGGAGCAAACAGG